UAAAUGCGAUAAGUAAUGUGAAUUGCAGAAUUCAGUGAAUCAUCGAAUCUUUGAACGCACAUUGCGCCCGCCAGUAUUCUGGCGGGCAUGCCUGUUCGAGCGUCAUUACAACCCUCAGGCCCCCGGGCCUGGCGUUGGGGAUCGGCGGAAGCCCCCUGCGGGCACAACGCCGUCCCCCAAAUACAGUGGCGGUCCCGCCGCAGCUUCCAUUGCGUAGUAGCUAACACCUCGCAACUGGAGAGCGGCGCGGCCACGCCGUAAAACACCCAACUUCUGAAUGUUGACCUCGAAUCAGGUAGGAAUACCCGCUGAACUUAAGC
rnacentral:misc_RNA from 1 species